UGAGUAAUGUCUGGGAAACUGCCUGAUGGAGGGGGAUAACUACUGGAAACGGUAGCUAAUACCGCAUAACGUCGCAAGACCAAAGAGGGGGACCUUCGGGCCUCUUGCCAUCAGAUGUGCCCAGAUGGGAUUAGCUAGUAGGUGGGGUAAUGGCUCACCUAGGCGACGAUCCCUAGCUGGUCUGAGAGGAUGACCAGCCACACUGGAACUGAGACACGGUCCAGACUCCUACGGGAGGCAGCAGUGGGGAAUAUUGCACAAUGGGCGCAAGCCUGAUGCAGCCAUGCCGCGUGUGUGAAGAAGGCCUUCGGGUUGUAAAGCACUUUCAGCGAGGAGGAAGGUGGUGAGCUUAAUACGCUCAUCAAUUGACGUUACUCGCAGAAGAAGCACCGGCUAACUCCGUGCCAGCAGCCGCGGUAAUACGGAGGGUGCAAGCGUUAAUCGGAAUUACUGGGCGUAAAAGCGCACGCAGGCGGUUUGUUAAGUCAGAUGUGAAAUCCCCGGG
rnacentral:rRNA from 1 species